rnacentral:rRNA from 1 species
GACGAACGCUGGCGGCGUGCUUAACACAUGCAAGUCGAACGGAAAGGCCCUGCUUUUGUGGGGUGCUUGAGUGGCGAACGGGUGAGUAACACGUGAGUAACCUGCCCUUGACUUUGGGAUAACUUCAGGAAACUGGGGCUAAUACCGGAUAGGAGCUCCUGCUGCAUGGUGGGGGUUGGAAAGUUUCGGCGGUUGGGGAUGGACUCGCGGCUUAUCAGCUUGUUGGUGGGGUAGUGGCUUACCAAGGCUUUGACGGGUAGCCGGCCUGAGAGGGUGACCGGCCACAUUGGGACUGAGAUACGGCCCAGACUCCUACGGGAGGCAGCAGUGGGGAAUAUUGCACAAUGGGCGGAAGCCUGAUGCAGGAACGCCGCGUGCGGGAUGACGGCCUUCGGGUUGUAAACCGCUUUCGCCUGUGACGAAGCGUGAGUGACGGUAAUGGGUAAAGAAGCACCGGCUAACUACGUG